AAACUUGAAGACUCUCCCUCUCUCAUUUCUUCAUUCUCUUCUCUGUUUCGCCCCUCUCUCUCUUUCUUAUUCAUUUCAAAUUUCAGAUUCAUUUUCACAAAAAAACUUGAAGACUCUCCCUCUCUCAUUUCUUCAUUCUCUUCUAUGUUGUGCCUUUCUGUCGACAAGCUCCCCGACGAGCACGGCUCUCCAUCAGCGGCGAGACGACGAGCGUAGCUCUACAACCCCGGUGACGAUCGAGGUUGAACGCAGCUUCUACAACCCGGCAACCCAACGAGUAAAGCUUCUCACUACGACCGACGACGACUCUCCAUCUUCACAGAUCUGUCUGCAGAGAUGUCAACUUCAAGUGCUAGCGGCAGUACCUCAGAUCAUUUGAAGAACAAGUGCAAAUGGACAGCAUACCAACCGUCACCAAACAACUUCAAAGUAUGGGUGAACACCUGCAAUUUCAAAGCGAACAACUUCUAAUUAAAAGCA